AGUAAGGUCAGCUAAUUAAGCUUUUGGGCCCAUACCCCAAACAUGUUGGUUAAAUCCCCUCCCCUACUA
rnacentral:tRNA from 1 species